GCCAGGCAUGGUGGUGCAUGCCUGUAGUCCCAGCUACUCGGGAGGCUGAGGCAGGAGGACUGCUUGAGCCCAGGAGUUGGAGGCCACAGUGAGCUAUGAUCAUGCCAUUGCACUCCAGCCUGGGCGACAGAGCAAGACUCUGUCUCUA
rnacentral:SRP_RNA from 1 species